ACUUCGUUGCCUUUUAGAUUUGAAAUUUCAUCUAUUAAAACUUAAUUCAUCUCUUCUCCCACAACAGUGACUUGGCCUCAUUUUCCGCGAAGAUUUCCAUUGACGCUACAUCCUGCAGAGAUUGAAAACAUUUACGCACUACAGCUUAUAUGAUUUACGCGCUAGUCUCUGAAGCUUCCAGUUAACCUGAAAAAACCUUGACUCCCAAUUUCGAAAGGUAUUUUAGUGUGAACCCUAAAGGAGAACACUGAGAUUGCAGUGAGGUUGCAGAGAAAGAGAACAACACAAAUCUGUUUGUACGAUUGGAGAAUGCAGGUGCAAAUCUGUUAGUGUGAUUGGAGAACGUAGGUGCUUUCAAGAGAGAAUCAGUGAACUGCAAAAUUGUUACGCAGGCGUCCUAUGAUCAAAACUAGCAUGGAUGAAUGAAGAGUUGAUGUGGCCAUAACUAGCUCUGAAAACAUUAAAGUGCUACAUGGUGUGAUGUGUUGCUUCCAAGAAAAGUCCCUUUGAACGAAGACAUUAGGACUUUUUUUUCAUAGGCUUACUGGUUUUAAUUUCCAAAAUUCAAAUUAAUAGAUGUGUUUUCUGAAUUAUUUUGUCUACAUUGUUGACUAUCAUCUGUUAACACUCUACCAUUCAUUGCAUAAUUGAGCUUUGUUCCGGUAGGGUUUGGAGGUCCCCCGCUAAAACACUCUUGGUCGUACUGAAGACUGGAUGGGCGUUGAAGAUCUGACGGACGGACGUUGCCCGCUCUCCCUCCUCCUUCUCCAAGCCAGGCGGACAGACACCUGUCAAAGGCACUCCGACGCUCAAGUCAGUAAAAUGACCGAACGGUUGGCACCGCAUAUAAUGCAUGUGUGCAUAAUGAGCAACGUCGUCCAGAAAUCAUACUUGGGACUCUUAUUUAUACUGGUUGUAAUGGGUUUUUAGCUUUUGUCGGCCUAAUGACGGUCCAAUCACGCCUUAAUCUUCAUUAGGGACUUUAAUGAGCUAUUAUAGGCCUGGAUGAUCGGCCGGGUGGAUGGUCGGCCUGGAUGAUCGGUUGGGUGGUUGGUCGACCUGGAUGAUCAGCCGGGUGGUUGGUUGGCUUGGAUGAUUCGGCCGGGUGGAUGAUCAGCCUGUGGCGUUGGCCUGGUGGAUGAUCAGCCUGGAUGAUCGACCGGGUGGAUGAUCGGCUUGGAUGAUCGGUCGGGUGUUUGGUCGGCUUGGAUGGUCGGCCUGAUGGAUGAUUGGCCUGGAUGAUCGACCUGGAUGAUCGGCCGGGUGGUUGGUCGGCCUGGAUGGUCGGCCUGAGUGGUUGGCCUAGUGGCGCAGUACAUCAGCCCCCCAAGCCCGAGCAUGAUGAUAAUGAUGCCGAUCAUCCAGGCUGACCAACCACUCGGCCGAUCAUCUAUGCCGAUAAUAGCUCAUUAAAGCCCCUAAUGAAGAUUAAGGCGUGAUUGGGCCAUCAUUAGGUCGACAAAAGGUAAAAGCCCAUUACAACCAGUAUAAAUAAGAGUCUCUGGUAUGAUUUCUGGACAGACUACUCAUUAUGCACACCAUAUGCCUUAUUUGUGGUGCCUACCUCGGUCAUUUUACUGACUUGAGCGUCGGAGUGCCUUUGACAGGUGCCCGUCCGCCCGACUUGGAGAAAAGGGAGGGAAAGCGAGCAAUUUCCGUCCAGUCUUCAACGUCCAUCCAGUCUUCAGUACUACCAAGAAUGUUUUAGCGAGAGACCUCCAAACCCCACUAGAACA